ensembl:lncRNA
CCGGUUUUAAUUUAAAAUCACUUUAUUUGACCAUCUUCUGCCCUCUUGAGGAUGAAAGGAGCACCUGCAUUCCCUUCUCUCCCAGUUAUGCCAGAUUUCCCGAGAAGUUGAGGUACACGUCAGAAUGGAACCUGUACUUGUGAGCGGACGUGUACAGUGACCUCAGCAGUUUGUGCGUAUCAGCUGACACACAUACACAGACGGGAAAACAUGGAACGCGGUAAGACCUGCCGAAAAAACGCAACGUUUGAAUAGAAUGGAAUCUAUUGAUUAUAUUCUUGAAUCUAGAAUCUAUAGUAUCUAUUCUAUUCAACAUUUGAAUAGAAUAAAACGCACUGAUUCUGUUCUUGAAUCUAAUAUCAUUAAAAUCUUUUUUAUUCAGAUUCUCUGUAGUGCAGAGGUACUUUUGCAUUGCAUUGCAAUGCUAAGCGACAUCAUAUAGUCAACGCGCUGUGAAAGCUUGCGCUGCCCAGUUGGGAGUGUGUCAGUAGUUAAUAAAGCACCAUGACGCUCUGUGUUACAGUAAAACGGUGUAUUUGUCUGAAUAAAUGUAACAUACAAGUCAAAAUAAUGGCCUAAACUCAGAAAAGUACAAAGAAUAACUCUUUAAAUAGGCAAUACAACACAUUACCCUGAUAUGGCAUAGGCUACUACUGGACUGAGAAAAAAAAAAAAAAAAAAAAAAAAAAGAGACAUGUAUAUGGACUUGAAUACACUUUAAAUAAUUAAAUUAAUAACUGUAAUAAACUGUUACUGGUGCCAUGUGGAAUUUGGUAAAUCUAGAGGCAUAUUAAUGAUGCUACAGAAAGAAAAUUUACAGGUAAACAUAUGCAUAAAUGUUUGAAAAUCCACUGCCCAAAUUUUACUCUCAGUCUCUCACUUCUUUCUGCCCUUGUGCAGGUUUUUCUCUUGCUGGGCCUUCUUCUAAUCCUCGUAAACGUCAGGUGCGAUUUUCAGCACGUCAUGACAUCCUGCUCCUCCGUGAGGUGAUAGCACAGAACCCUUUCACUUCUAAAGAGUCAGGCCGGAUCUGGGCAAGGGUGGGUGAAAUUAUUACUGCGACCUUACAGGAUGAGAACUUUGAGGUGGAUGGACGCAGAUGCAGGGAGAGAACCAUGCUACUGCUGGAUUAUUAUAAAAAACAGGACUUUGCAAGUCUGCGCAGGUUUGGUACGGAACGCCUGUAUGCACAGAAAGAAGACCUGCUGCACGAAGUUCUGGAACUGGAGGCAGAGAAGAAUCUUCUGGCGAGUGGGGAAAGUAAAUACCAAGAUGAUGAACUCAGGAAGAGAACGCUGGAGGAAUUAUCAUCGCCUGACCCUGACAAAUCCACUGUGCUAUCAGUAACAACAGCUCCCACCACUGUGGUAGCCAGUCCAGAACCUGAGGAGCAGGAGGAGGCUGAUCUCACAGCUCCCACAGCCAAACGGCCAUGUCAGUGCUGCUGCCAGACCUACUCAGAGAUCCUGAGCUUCCUAGAAAAGCGAUUUGAAGCAGAGCAGAGUCUGCGAGAGGAGGAGAUGGCACUGAGAAGAGAAGAGCUAGAAGUCCAGAGGAGUAAGAUUGCCCUGGAUCGGGAGCGUCUCGGAGCAGAAAGAAAAGAACGGGAACGUCGGUUUGAGCUGGAGAGUCAGGAAAGGCAGGUUAUACUGGAUUUGUUAAAAGAGAAGGUCCUAAAAAAUGAACGGAACUCUGACUGAAAUUAGAAGCUUUUAGUUUCAGUCUUUGAUGUUGAACUGUCAUUCCAGCCAGUGUUAUAUUCUGCUUUCCCUGUUUGAAUUGGUCUUAUAGCAUGAAAAUAAUAUAAACCCAUAAUAUUUUAGUUGAUUAUCAUAACAUUGAAUAAAAUGGCUAAAUGCCUGGUGAUAUGUUUGUUU